UACGUAGGGUGCGAGCGUUGUCCGGAAUUAUUGGGCGUAAAGGGCUCGUAGGCGGUUUGUCGCGUCGGGGAGUGAAAACCAGGUGCUUAACACCUGGCUUGCUUUCGAUACGGGCAGACUAGAGGUAUGCAGGGGAGAACGGAAUUCCUGGUGUAGCGGUGAAAUGCGCAGAUAUCAGGAGGAACACCGGUGGCGAAGGCGGUUCUCUGGGCAUUACCUGACGCUGAGGAGCGAAAGCGUGGGGAGCGAACAGG
rnacentral:rRNA from 1 species